UACAGAGGGUGCAAGCGUUGUUCGGAAUUACUGGGCGUAAAGGGCCAGUAGGCGGCCAACUAAGUCGGAUGUGAAAUCCCCAGGCUUAACCUGGGAACUGCAUCCGAUACUGGAUGGCUUGAAUUCGGGAGAGGGAUGCAGAAUUCCAGGUGUAGCGGUGAAAUGCGUAGAUAUCUGGAGGAAUACCGGUGGCGAAGGCGGCAUCCUGGACCGACAUUGACGCUGAACGGCGAAAAGCUAGGGGAGCAAACGGG
rnacentral:rRNA from 1 species